UUAAAGCUACUCUCAGUUCGGAUUGUAGGCUGAAACUCGCCUACAUGAAGCUGGAGUUACUAGUAAUCGCAGAUCAGAAUGCUGCGGUGAAUGCGUUCCCGGGUCUUGUACACACCGCCCGUCACACCACGGGAGUUGGAGACGCCCGAAGCCGAUUAUCUAACCUUUUGGAAGAAGUCGUCGAAGGUGGAAUCAAUAACUGGGGUGAAGUCGUAACAAGGUAGCCGUAUCGGAAGGUGCGGCUGGAUCACCUCCUUUCUAAGGAGA
rnacentral:rRNA from 1 species